AUUGAACGCUGGCGGCAGGCCUAACACAUGCAAGUCGAGCGGAUGAAGGGAGCUUGCUCCUGGAUUCAGCGGCGGACGGGUGAGUAAUGCCUAGGAAUCUGCCUGGUAGUGGGGGAUAACGUCCGGAAACGGGCGCUAAUACCGCAUACGUCCUGAGGAGAAAGUGGAGGAUCUUCGGACCUCACGCUAUCAGAUGAGCCUAGGUCGGAUUAGCUAGUUGGUGGGGUAAAGGCCUACCAAGGCGACGAUCCGUAACUGGUCUGAGAGGAUGAUCAGUCACACUGGAACUGAGACACGGUCCAGACUCCUACGGGAGGCAGCAGUGGGGAAUAUUGGACAAUGGGCGAAAGCCUGAUCCAGCCAUGCCGCGUGUGUGAAGAAGGUCUUCGGAUUGUAAAGCACUUUAAGUUGGGAGGAAGGGCAGUAAGUUAAUACCUUGCUGUUUUGACGUUACCAACAGAAUAAGCACCGGCUAACUUCGUG
rnacentral:rRNA from 1 species